CCAGAUAAAUAAAAUUGUGCUUUAAAAUGAAACCUUCCCUGCGCUCUUAACUGUAUGUCAUUAAAAGUUAAAAAGCUUUUUGUUAUCCUAAAUGCGAAUCGACUCUUCAUCGUUCAUGUUGUAGUGUAGUGUACUCCUUCAUUCUGAACCUCUUUUCACCGCGCGCGUCAAAUCUAUUAGCAACAAUGAGGCGAGCAAAAAGUGAAUUUUCAACCUUUUGUGAAUAUUGUUACGCUCGAAGAUUAUAUUCCGCUGACAACACUUCAUACGUACCUACAGUGCCAUAUUCGCUGCCAAUUUAACUGUAAACAUAUGGAAUAUUAAUGCACCAAUCUCAAUUAUCGUUCGCUUCAUUGAAUAACGGUGAAAUGAAAAGUUUUAUUUUUUUACGUCGUAACGCAGUUUUUUCCUGUCGAGGGGAAGAAAGAAAUUUAAAUGCAUGAUUUUUUUCAUCUCCGGGCGAUGUUAUUCGAAAAUUUUUUGUCUUUAUUCAUUUUUUUCUUUCUGGUAUAGGUAUAGGAUGUGCCUACGCUACCUACUUACCUAUAUUUUAAAUUUAACCAAGGCUGCAAAAUCUUUUGUAAGAAGAGAGCCAACUCGUUUAAUUUGAUUUUUUGUUCUUCUUUUUCAAGGUUUAAUAGCCUCAAAUAGGACGAUAAUUAUGCAAGAUUACUCCCAAGGAAUGUAAAGGGGGAAAAACAAUUAAUUUAUUGCAUCAGUUACCAAGCAAUCAUUCAUAUGAACAGAGGAAUUCGAUGCCAAGAUUUUCUCAGAUGAAAAUUUUCAAAAUAUCAUUACGUACAUAUUCAAUAAAUAACUUAACACUUUCUAAAACAUGAAAAAAAUUGUCUUCGAGAAAUAAAAAAUGUAGUACAAAACCCAAUAAAAGAAAACGAGUACAAGAAAAUCAUAUUUCAUUCGCACUCUGCCUCGAGUCACUGUACAGUUACAAGUUUUCUUCCAUAAAAAAUUAUCGUCGAGUUGAAUAAGACGCUGGAUCGUGUGAGAUUAUUGGUCGAAGCAUAAAACCAUAUUACUGAAAAUUUAAAUGUAUUUACAGGCGAUGUCGGUGGUACCGUUAAAAAGGCGAGAAAUAUCUUUGAAAGUCGUCGGCUAAAAAGUUAAUACGAUUUUUUAGAUAAGAACUUUUUACCAUGUCCCUGGCGGAUAGUGCAGAUGGUCAAAAACGUUAAGUAAGAAGAAUUGAUAGUAACGUGUUGAGAUUAGAAAUGGUUGUAAAACCACUAGUACGCUAUAAGUAUACGAGUAUGUUCGGAUCUUUGGCCAAAACAAACAUACGCAUUCUCUGGAGAACGUUUUGCCUCAGCAAGAAAGUUAAACCUUGGCGAAACGAGCGACAGGAGACAUAUUCUUUAAAAUGUGUUUCUUAAAAUGUUAUGUGAGAAAUGACUAACACGUAUCAAGAAUUAUACCAGUUCAACUUCCAACUAAAGAGUACCUAUCGUAGAUAUAAAGAUUAAAUUUUUAAUCGUUUUUCCAACACGUAAAAAUCGAAUUAUAUUUAUCGACUACUCGGAACGAGAAUUGAAAAACCUUUCGUAGAUAUAGAUAGGUAUAGUCACUUAGGCAGUACCUAUCUACGAUUGAAAAUUUUUUCUACGCAGUUGCUUAAUAAAACGAUGACGAAGAUAGAUAAAUUGUUUCAGCAGAUCCCACUUGGAAUGAGAAAUAAAGGUAUUCAAAACUUCGGAAAACCCAGGAACCGGAUAACAAUAUGUGAGAGUGCAAAUAUUUGGAAAUUUCCUCUCACUCGUUCGAAAAAAAAAGGGAAAUUUAUUAAACGCUACGACAAAACAAGAAAAAAAGAUGUUGAAAAUUGGAACCAAUGUUACCUGCUGGUUUUAAUUUUGGCCAACCGAGUCAUUCGAAACGGUUCAUUUUUCACGUUAACUGUAACCAUUAGGAACACAAAUCAGAAGCAAGAAGUUCGCUAUUGUGCUAAGUACUAUAGGAGGAAAUCUGCGAUAGCUAACCUGCGAACAGCAAUCAAUCUUAUGAGGCUGCUGACGGCGUCGUUGUCUGAUUUCUCAACAUUAUUUUGUCCGAACGACCGAACGCCAUUGUUUCCUGCUAAACAUGAUCUCAUAACUAGCGUGUAUUUUUUUGUCAUUUUAAUAGCAUAUUUUACGAUGAAAAAUGUACACCGAGUCGAGCUAUACUACGAGUAUUUACUCAUUUAAGACGCACCCGCCAUCGCAUAAUAAGCUUUUUUUCCGCUAGAUUUUUCCAUCGCGCCGCGGCCAUUACAGAAAUCAACGAUCUGGUAAAUAAACGUAAAUUAAAGUGUUUUUAUUUCAUUUUUUUUUUUUGCCGCAGUAAAAUUGAUUUAACCGUUUAAGGUUGAAUAUUUUCAUAAAUUAUAAGGGUUGUGGCAUUUCAUCUGCGGAUCGUUGUUUAUCUACUACAUGUUUUCAAAGAGGAAGUUCGUGCUGAAGGUUAUAUGGGAAAGAAUUAGUUCGCUUGUACAUAUUAUCAUUUUUUCUUCAUCAACGUGGUGAAUUAAAAUUUUAAAAUAA